rnacentral:rRNA from 1 species
UACGAGUGCUCCAAGCGUUUAUCCGGGAAUUAUUGGGCGUAAAGGGUGCGUAGGCGGGUCUUUUAAGUCAGGGGUGAAAUCCUGGAGCUCAACUCCAGAACUGCCUUUGAUACUGAAGAUCUUGAGUUCGGGAGAGGUGAGUGGAACUGCGAGUGUAGAGGUGAAAUUCGUAGAUAUUCGCAAGAACACCAGUGGCGAAGGCGGCUCACUGGCCCGAUACUGACGCUGAGGCACGAAAGCGUGGGGAGCAAACAGG